rnacentral:snRNA from 1 species
GUGCUCGCUUCGGCAGAACAUAUACUAAAAUUGGAACGAUGCAGAGAAGAUUAACAUGGCCCUUGCGCAAUGAUGACACGCAAAUUUGUGAAGCAUUCAAAUUAAGU